GAAAAAUAUCUCUACAAAGAAAAUAUAGAAACUUUGGCUUUUCCUGUGACAUUCGGCUCCCUCGCCUCGCCCUCUCCAUUGCGCUGCUUCCGUUAGCUUCGCAUCACGUGUCAGAGUACAAAGUGAAAUUGCGAAAAUCCGUUUCACACUCACACACACACACACACAUUUUUUUCUCUCCCGGUGGCGCCUUCUUCGUUGCCCUAUUCCUUAACAUCCAACCACCAACAUCCCCACCCUCUUCCCUCUUCCUCUUCCCACACUCUCUCUGGCCGAGCGCUUGCCUUUUGAUGCUGCAACGGGUUUUGCUUGGUUUUGAAUUUCAGCUGUGAGAGAUAGAAAGAGAGAGAGUGAGAGAGAGGAGAAAGGAGGGGAGGGGAGAGUAGAGGCAUUGCUUGUCGGAUUGUGUUUUACAUCUUGAUUAUCUUCCGCUUGUUUGUGCUAUAUAAACACUCACCCACCCACCUAGCACCCACCCACCCACACACACACACACAGAGCUUAUAAACCAGGCCAACCCCUGCUGCGAGUGGGCUUUAAAUGUAAAAUAUUUCUAUUCAAAUCCAUUCAAGGAUAAGAAGUCAAUCAGUCUACAAAGUGCAAAGGAUUUUGCACUUUCUCAAAUUCAAAUUCAAAUUCUGUUCGAAAUGCUCAGUGUAACGCACAGUGGUAAAAAACCCUGAAUAAUUUGUCAAUUAUUUUCAACUAAAUUAAUGACUCUACUUCUAUAUUAUCUUGCCAAUUUUAUGGUUUCAUACAUGUUAUAAGUACUAUAACACCCUGCGAAUGUGCAGUUUAUUGAAAUAUAUUUAUAUUUGUUAUUAGAUUCGCGUUACUAAAAGAAAUAUGAAUACAUUUA